rnacentral:rRNA from 1 species
GUGUCAGCAGCCGCGGUAAUACGUAGGAGACGAGCGUUAUCCGGAUUUACUGGGCGUAAAGAGGGCGUAGGCGGUCUUUCAAGUCGGAUGUGAAAUCUCCCGGCUUAACUGGGAGGGGUCAUUCGAUACUGUUGGGCUAGAGGGCAGCAGAGGGAGGUGGAAUUCCCGGUGUAGUGGUGAAAUGCGUAGAUAUCGGGAGGAACACCAGUGGCGAAGGCGGCCUCCUGGGCUGUUUCUGACGCUGAGGCCCAAAAGCGUGGGGAGCGAACAGGAUUAGAUACCCUGGUAGUCCACGCUGUAAACUAUGGACACUAGGUAUGGGGAGUAUCGACCCUUUCCGUGCCGAAGCUAACGCUUUAAGUGUCCCGCCUGGGGACUACGGCCGCAAGGCUAAAACUUAAAUGAAUUGACGGGG